ensembl:lncRNA
CGCAGGCCUCGAGCCCCGCGCCACCGCAGCGCUCGGGGAGCAGGACGAGAGGCGUGGGCGCCGCAGCCUUAGUCCUGGGCCGCGCCCUGCGCUCGGGCCAGAUCAUCAGUUUUUCAGCAGGAAUUGAUGGUUUUUAAUGUUUCAACCUAAAGAAGCUUUCUCCUGCCGGCAAAGGUUGAUUUAGCUCAGUUCUCAAACUAUUCGAUGGUGUACUUAUUUGGGAUGACUGGCACUGGCAAGGUAGCAGACCUUUGAUGGUACUGCACAGCCUCUGACUGGUGAUGAGAUGGGGUACCAAGUGGACAUGAUGAGAGAAAAAGCAAAAGUGAGAGAUCUUUUAUCGUCUUCUGAAGGCAUCUCUUUUAUGUUAUUUAAACCUUAUACUUCCUCGGUGUUUACUUACUUGUCUGCCCUUCACCACUAAAAGUUAUAUAACCCCCAUAAUGGUGGUAUGAACUUUUGUCUUCAUUAGAUGAUGAACCUCUUGUUAGUGAGACAACCGACCCAACUAUUUUUAAAACUCUAAUUACUGCCAUAAUAUCUGCAAAAUGUAUUGAGCUUCUACCGUGUGCUUGGGAUUAUGCUAAGCAUGUUCUCCUGGUUAUCACUUUUAAUUCUCACAACUUGUGAGGCAGUUAUUGGUAUCUAAAUUGAAAGGCCCAUGGAAACAAAUUUGCCCCACACCUUAUGCUGGUAAGUGGCAGGAACUAGCAUCAAGUAAUGUUUGAGCCUGUGUACACCUAACUACCCAGAAGAUGGUAUUAAUGUGAUAUUAGUAUAUGCCAAGUAAAAUAACCAUAUUGCAUUUAAUAGCAUCUGAGAGACUCAUUUUGAUGAAAUUAUUUAAUAAAACUCAGAGCACAGAGUAGAUAACUAAACACUACCAUCUUCCAUUAGCAUAGUAGGUUAUUGUGCGCUUGGUCUGAGUCAAGAACUAUCAUAGAUAUUCUAGGUACAGUGUUUGACUUUAUUCAACACAAUAGCCAGAUAUAUUGGAUAAUUUUAUCCCAAUUCUAUGGAUGAAGAAUUAGCUUCCAAGAUUAUAAGUUAUUUGUCUAAAUGGAGUCUUGUCUAUGAUUUGAAAGACAUGCAUUUCCCACCAUACUAUGUAGUGUCUCAAGACCAAAAUGUCCUGUUUUCAAGGUUCUUUAUUGCAUUGGAAAGUGUUUUAGGGCUCACCAGAUAACCCAUAAUAUAAAAUGGCUCAUGUGUGUUAUAUAUGAUACUACACAGAGAGAAAGAGAGAUUUAUUUUAAGGAAUUGGUUUAUAAUUGUGGAGCCUGGCAAGUCAAAUCUGUAAGGCUAGAAAUUAAAGUAAGAGUUGAAGGUACAGUCUUGCGUCUGAAACCUGCAGGGCAGACCAACAGGCCAAAAACUCAGAUAGGGUUUCUAUGUUGCAGUCAUGGGGCAGAAUCACUUUUUCGGGAAAUCUGAGUCUUUGCUCUAAAGGCCUUCAACUGACUGGAUGAAACCACCCACUUUAAUAAGGGUAAUCUGCUAAAUGUCAACAGGUUAUAAAUGUCAGUUGUAUCCACAAAAUACCUUCACAGCUAUGACUUAAACAGUGUUCAACUAAACAACUGAACAUUAUAGCCUAGCCAACUUUUAUAUAAAAUUAAUCAUCACAGAGAGCAAACUUUAAAUAAUAGAAGAACUCCUAUUACCUAAAGCUACAAAAACAUAGUGCCUAAGAAUAACUUAAGCAGCACGAUUCAUAUAAAAGAAACUUUUAUGUGAGAGAAAUACACGAGUGGACUUGAAUGUUUAGAAAGAUGACUUUUGAAUAGAAACAACCUACUAAAAAUAAAAAUUCACAUUAAAUCUAUACUUUUAACAUAAUCUCUACAUAGUCAGACUUUUUCAACUAGAUAAGCAGAUUCUAUGACCAUAUGCGAAAAAAGGAUAUAAAGUUGUAAAGUUAGCCAGGAAAAUUAUGAACAACAGCAACAAAAAUCCAAAAUAAAUAUCUGUUAGGGUUGGUUUAGAGAAUCAGGAUUGCUUCAGAUCCUUGCUGGGUCCUGGGGACCCACUUCCCUCCUUCUCUUCCUGAUGUCGUUAUAUUCCACUGUCUGGACACCAAAUCUUGGAGAGGCUGUUUUUCUGCUCCUCACCACUGCCAUCUUCCACAUCUACUUUUCAAAUCUUGCACAUUUCUGUCGAGGCCAAUUUAACCAAAAACAUAAAAGAAAGACAGUUUGGGGAAUAUAGUUUUAACUUAGCAAAGUUAACAGGGUAAGAAAACCACUUUAGUCAUCUUGUUACCUUGACCUUCAUACACAUUCAUAUUGAAUUUUCAAAUAAAACCCACAGCAGAAUCAUACACCUGCCUAUAAGAUGUGGCUUUUUUUUCAUACAACUGAAAUCAGCUCACUCCCCCCACUCCCAAUGAGGAUCCAGAGUUCCUUGAGUGACAUUCAUUCCUCCUCUUAAUGAGUCCCAGUGGAAACUCUGAUGUUCAGAAACUUAAAUAUUAAGCUGUAAGUUUACUUACCUUUUAAUGAUGAACUGUGAUAAUGAGAGCUGUGAACACAUACUAAGAGAAUGAGAGAAAAACAAUGGUCAAUGUAUACACAAUAUACUUAGAUUGUUAAAAUACAUACAAAUAUAUCAAAAAUGAAGGAAAAUACUCAUAGCUACUACAGUCCUUGUGUCUGCAACUGGUAACAUCACAGCUACUAUUAAUUACCUUCUUUCUUUUCCAUUACUUGUUUUAUAUUUCCUUUGUCUCCAGCAUACAUCUUAGCUGGUAGUCAUUCCUUGUCUUAUAGAGUGACCUAAAUCUUCAUUCCUGAAGGGUGAGUCAUUAGAGUAGAAGCUAUUGGAUUGUUAUAGUUUCCAGUUAACUAAUAUAACAGAGCCUUAGACUGCUAAAUACCAAGUAAUAUCCCUAAAGAAUUUCUUAUACUAUAUACCAUGCAUAUUCCCUUCUAGUAGGUGUAGCAGCUUGAUAGGAUCAACCAAAUUCUGUUUGGCAAGAUCAAUCAUUUCAGUGUAAUAAAAUGAUCUCCUUUUUGAUAUGUUGAUUAAAAGAGCACAAGGAGCCUAAAAGGGUCAAGUGGCAAUCUCAACUUCCAAUUUACUUGAACUCAUGCUGGUAUACCCUGAUGGGAACAGUCUUUGGGAGAUGCCCACAGUUGCAGGAAUGAGAAACAAAUCUUUUGUAUUUGUUUCAUUGGAGUCAAAGUGAGGCUCCCCACCCAAGCCCACCUCUUCAAUCCUGGAUCAUGGCUCUGUAGUGGUCAUCUAUUUAGAACAUAUACUGAACCCUGAAGAACAUUAUCUAGGGAGUGGAUAGGGAGUGACUGCUCAGUAGUAAUAGAGUUUCAUUUGGGUAUGAUGAAAAAGUCUGGAGCCAGAUAAUGGUGAUGGUUGCACAACAUUGUGAAUGUGCUUAAUUCCAUGGAAUUACAUACUCUAAAAUGAUUAAAAUGAUAAAUUUUUUGUGAUGUGAAUUUUACCACAAUAAAAAAGGCCAUUCUAUCAUCAUAUCAGAACAUUUACUAUGGCCAGGAUAGUAAAAUCAAUGAAUUCUUAUGAACCCAUUUCUGCUAUGUUAAAAUGAGUUUCUUGGAAUAACAGGAUGGUGACUAAAACAUUUUGUAAGUCCAUAGAUGGUUUUAACAGAAGCAUUGCAGGGCCGGGGAUUUAGCUCAGUGGUUUCGCUGCCUGCUGCGCAAGUGCAAGGACCUGAGUUCGAUCCCCAGUACAAAAAAAAAAAAAAAAAAAAAAAAGAAGCAUUGCAGACUAAGAAGUAAAUUCACUUCCAGAAUAAGUAUUUAGUGAGAAAAAAGGGCUGCCUAUAUGUGGUCCAAGCAUGCCUGAUGGUUGAUACCUCCAAGGAAUAGAGGUUUAGACUUGAUCUCUGCUGUUAACAAGUUGGCCACUCAAUAAUGGUUGUAGCCAGACUGGCCUUGUUGAGUGAAAAUCCAAGCUCUGAGCCCAUGUCAAACUUCCAUCCUGCCACAAGGCUCACUUUCUUUAUGAGCAUGUUGGGCAAGGAUAGAAAUAGAUGGGAAAAGCUGACAAAUAUAUGCAGAAAAGAUCAUUUCACCAACUUGGUUUUUAUGAUUGUCCUUUAAUGAGGUUCCUUUUUGGUGAGUAUUCGUGUAAGACACAAAUAUCUUCAUACUAGGUGCCCAUUUAACCUAUCUAUAUGUACUUUUUUUUCCAGACCUCCUUGUCACCAAUUUUCUGAUCAUGAGCUUUCUAAGUUCUAGAUCAUGUAGCCAAAAGUAUUGCCCAUGAAUCCAUAUAGAGUCUUAUAUCUUUCUUUCUGUUCAGACAUCAAGAAUAGCAGAAACAUUGCUUCAAGUUCUGCCACUAGGAGUAUUUCUCUUUACCAUCUUUUGAGACCACUCCAUAAAAGAGUCAUCAUACUGUAGCAUACUGUUGCCUUAAACAUGAAUUGAGAAGUGGGAAACAGUGUAAUCAUAGGGAUCAUGAGUAUCUGGGAUCCUUGUUCAUACAAUUCACUUGUGCCUUUAAAGACAUGUUUGAGCCUGAUCUCAAUGUAUACCACUUCUUUUAAUAAUGGAACUCUAUCCCCAGCCCUUUAUUUAUUUUUUGUUUUGAGACAGGAUCUUGCUAAAUUGCUAAGUUGCCCAGGCUGGGCUCGAACUUGCAGUCCUUUUGCCUCAGCCUCCCAGAGUGCUGGAAUUGCAGAUGUGAGCUACCACACCCAGAAAAUAGUUAUUUUAAAUGUAAAUUAUAAAAACAAAGAUUAAACAUUUAAUAAAUGUUAGAAAAUAAAGCUGAAGAUAUUUUCCUGAAAGGUGAAAAUUAAAGAUACAAAUAAUAUGAGAAAACGCAUCAAAUUUAGAGUUCCAAUUGGCUUAACAUCCAAAUAAUAACACAUUCAGAAAGAGAAAACUUGAAAAAAAUUGUUGGGGAGAAAAAUAACAAGAAAACUCAGCAAGACAGCAGGAUAUGCAUUUCCCAGAUGGUGAUAGCCAAGUUUGUGCCUAGAAUAAUAGAAGAGAGAUCUAUUCUGAAACAUAUCAUAGUGAAAUCUUAGAAAAAUGGGUACAAAAUUAAAAUUUAAAAUCUUCCAGGUAGUAAAAAUAAAAGCAAGUCACAUACAGAGGAUUAUACAUCAGCAUGGCAAAGGCAAUUUCAGCAACAAAUUAGAAGCUAGAUGGCAAGGAAAUAAACCUUUCGAAUUUCAGAAGAAUUGAUUUUCUGGCUAGGAACCUGGCCAUACUAUCAAUGUAGUGAGAGAGCAACAAAGAUAUUUUUCAGAUAUUGAAGAAACCAAAUAUUUACCUACCAUUGCACUUUUUCUCAGAAAGGUAUUAGAAUGGAGCAAACAGCAGCUUCAAGGCAAGGGAGAAAAGGAGUUCCCAGAAUCAUACUUAGAAGAGCAAAGUAUUUUACAAUGAACCUGAAAAUUGAUUACUAAACAGUUUUUUUACUGACAAGGAUCGCUGAAUUUGUUAACUGUCACUUUUAUAUAAGAUAGUAUUAGAUUUAAGGAACGUACUGUGUUAUUUACAUCUCUUACCUUCUUGUUUCCAUUGUGCUAUCUUUGGAUCAAAUAGCUGCUUAUUUCAAAUAGUGAAAUAUUUAAGAUCCUAAAGCAGUUGGUUAUAGGGUAUUAUGGAUUCAAUUGUGUCUGCACCCUUACCUUUCAAAAAAAUGUGUUGAAGUCCUAGGCCCCAGUUCUUCAGAAUAUAACCUUAUUUGGAAGUAGGGUUAUUACACAUGAAAUUAUUUGAGUAGAAGUGAGGUCAUACUUGAUUACGAUGGGUCUUACUACAUUCUGAUAAGUGUCCUGAUAAGAAGAUAGGUACAAAGGUAUUAACAUGAGAAGAACUCUAAGAGAGAAUGGAAGCAGAAAUUGGAUUGAUGCAUCUACAAGCCAAGUAUUGCCAGCCAUCAGCAGAAACUAGGAGAGAGGCAUGGAACUUUUCUCUCUGAGAACUGCUAGAAGAAACCAACCCUGUUGACACUGAUUUUGGAUUUUUAGAACUAUGACAGAAUAAAUUUCUAUUGUUUGAAAUUGCUGUUUGUGGUCUUUUGUUACAUAAGCCAUAAGAAACUAAAAAGCAGUUUUAUCAAAAUUAUACCAGUACAAGGGAGGAAGCCUUUUUCAAUUCCAGUAUUUCCAUUUAUGUAUUCACCAAAUAUUUUCUGUUUAAGUACUAUGUGUUAUAUAUUCUGUUAGGCCCCAGGGAUAAAAUAAAACAGAG